rnacentral:sRNA from 1 species
UUUUGAGUGAUUAACCCGCCUUUAUUAAGAUUUGCCGAUUAAAUACUCAUGUUCUUGUGUGUUUAUUUUGGACGUGGAAACUAGUUUCAAAAAGACAUUGAAGAGCGCAAUAACGUCGAACUUGGAAAAAGUUUGUAUACCCGAAAGCUCUGGGAACCGUCGUUGACGGGAAAUUGAGACCGUUGUGUAUGCUUUGUGAUCUUCACCGUCUCACCCACCUAAUCGGACGCUUAUUGUCCUUGGAUUUGAGCCUUUGAAAAAGGAAGUCCACGACUUAUAGAGGUACAUUAGUGCGUUGUCUGCCAAAACAGGUACGUACGGAUUACACCUUAAGGCCCCUAGAGUCGUUCAAUUUGCCCCCUUAACCGGAUUCGGCGAACACUCUAUUUAUUUAAACCCACCCAUUAACAGUUAAAGCUUUAUAACUUAAAACUAAGCCGG